AGAGUUUGAUCAUGGCUCAGGAUGAACGCUAGCGGCAGGCCUAACACAUGCAAGUCGAACGGUAACAGGGGUCAGCUUGCUGAUCCGCUGACGAGUGGCGCACGGGUGCGUAACGCGUAUGCAAUCUACCUCUUACAGGGAAAUAGCCCAGAGAAAUUUGGAUUAAUGUCCCAUAACAUAAUCGAUCGGCAUCGAUUGAUUAUUAAAGUUUCGGCGGUAGGAGAUGAGCAUGCGUUCUAUUAGCUAGUAGGUGCGGUAACGGCGCACCUAGGCCACGAUAGAUAGGGGCCCUGAGAGGGGGAUCCCCCACACUGGUACUGAGACACGGACCAGACUCCUACGGGAGGCAGCAGUGAGGAAUAUUGGUCAAUGGACGGAAGUCUGAACCAGCCAUGCCGCGUGCAGGAAGACUGCCCUAUGGGUUGUAAACUGCUUUUGUACGGGAAGAAACCCAGCUACGUGUAGCUGGCUGACGGUACCGUAAGAAUAAGGAUCGGCUAACUCCGUGCCAGCAGCCGCGGUAAUACGGAGGAUCCAAGCGUUAUCCGGAAUCAUUGGGUUUAAAGGGUCCGUAGGUGGAUAAUUAAGUCAGAGGUGAAAUCUUGCAGCUCAACUGUAAAAUUGCCUUUGAUACUGGUUAUCUUGAGUCAUUAUGAAGUGGUUAGAAUAUGUAGUGUAGCGGUGAAAUGCAUAGAUAUUACAUAGAAUACCAAUUGCGAAGGCAGAUCACUAAUAAUGUACUGACACUGAUGGACGAAAGCGUGGGGAGCGAACAGGAUUAGAUACCCUAGUAGUCC
rnacentral:rRNA from 1 species